AUGAUAUUUAUUAAUAUGGUGUCCAUGUGAUAUUUACUCUACAAUUAUAAAAACAAGUGAGGGUCCACGUAUCAUCCUUCUCCUAUCUCUUUUUACUUCUCUCCCCAAUCUCUCUCCUCAAUUCAACGGCAUCAACAGGGUGGGCACCGCCGUGCAGCAUCAACAGGGUGGGACGAAAUGGGCCGGCGAUGAGCCGCGGCUAGCUGGGCCGGCCCACCGCGAUGAGGCUAUAUGCACAGGAGGAGGAGGAAGUGAGCCCCGCACCACCACCGCCGCCGCCAUGGCGCUCCGCCGCAUCAACCUCUGGAAGAAUCCGCUCCUCCUCCCCCGGCCAUUCUCCUCGUCCUCCUCACCCAUCCCGACCGCUCCGCCGGCGUCCUCCAUCGACGACAUCCGUCGCCAGAUCGAGUCCCUCGCCGCGAGGGGCGCCCCUCCUGGCUCCUCCGCCGCCUCCCGCUCCCCACCGGAACCCGGCGAGGGGGAGGGGCGCAACCCGGAGACCUCGCUCUUCCAGGAGAUGCACGAUCAGAUCCCGAUCGCUCCGUCGUUCCAUCACCAUCAGUAUUCGGUCGCCUGCUCUUCGCGGGGACAACGCGAGAAAGGAGGAGGAGGGGAGAGAGGAGAAUUCCGAUGACACGAUCGGUACAGUACCAGGCACUCCGGAGGAGCAUCCGGGAAAUCCGACUCGAUCAGAAAACUAAGGAUGAUAUUUACCACUACAAGACAAGAACCAGCUGGACCAGGUACCAACGCCGCAGGCCUUGAUUAGAGGCUUGCCCUAUCAUCAUCCUUAAUGACUUCAUCGCUGGACAGGAAGUUGGCAAUUUCCCUUAUGUUCUGGACAAUGGUGCUGGUGAGUGGUGACUCCAAAAGUUAGAGGGAACUGCUAAACUUGUUGCCCGCUGGUUUGGUCCAGAGUCUUGAAUUUGUAUUUUUUUUUUAUUUUCUCCAAACAAUAAUACUACUUAGGUCCUGAUGGUUUCAACUUAAGAUUAUUCAUUAUCGUAAUCUAGAUUAUUAAAGAUUACUGUAAACUGGAUUAUAAUAAGCUAUAGCCCUUUUUUCAGCUUAAGAUUAUUGUAAUUUAGAUUAUUAAACUAUAUUACUAUAAACGGGAUUAUAAUAAGUCGACAUAAAAUAA